rnacentral:rRNA from 1 species
AGGGUUCGAUUCUGGCUCAGAACGAACGCUGGCGGCAGGCCUAACACAUGCAAGUCGAGCGAAGCCUUCGGGUUUAGCGGCGGACGGGUGAGUAACGCGUGGGAAUAUGCCCUUUGGUACGGAACAGUCCCGGGAAACUGGGUUUAAUACCGUAUGUGGUCCUUCGUAGUGGAUACGGGGGACGAAAGAUUUAUCGCCAAAGGAUUAGCCCGCGUUGGAUUAGGUAGUUGGUGGGGUAAUGGCCUACCAAGCCGACGAUCCAUAGCUGGUUUGAGAGGAUGAUCAGCCACACUGGGACUGAGACACGGCCCAGACUCCUACGGGAGGCAGCAGUGGGGAAUCUUAGACAAUGAGGGCAACCCUGAUCUAGCCAUGCCGCGUGAGUGAUGAAGGCCUUAGGGUUGUAAAGCUCUUUCAGCUGGGAAGAUAAUGACGGUACCAGCAGAAGAAGCCCCGGCUAACUCCGUGCCAGCCGCCGCGGUAAUAC